AUCCAAAUCCUCUCGACAUCGCUCUCAUCCCCAAGACAUUUCCCUUGUUUGAUUUCACUACCAUUCCCCUCUUCCAAUUUCUCAAUUUUAUUUAGGAACAAGAGAAGUUGAUCAUCUUCUGAAGCUGGCGGGGUUUGAAGGAGCAUUAGCCUUUGCAUUAUCGUCUUCUUGGGGAAGCUUGACUGCGGUAUAAGUACCUGCACCACCUAGAGCGCCAAUUAUGGGAGCUAAUAGAUAGACCCAUAUGGCUUUGUAGUUGUUUGCAGCAAUAGCUGGACCAAGACUUCUUACUGGGUUCAUUGAUCCUCCUGUUAUUGGCCUGUAAUGCAGUGAAGUGCACCAUCAUAUAUAUGUUCAUGAGAAGUGAAAAGUGAGAGUUGGGACAUGUACAUACCCUGCUAUGAGUAUAUUAAGCAUCACAGUUGCUCCUACUGCAAUUCCUGCCAGUUCUCCUACCUGCAUAACCAUAAUCAUCAAUCAGGGACUCUGUUAUAGGGGAUUCAUCAUCCAAAAGCCUAGUUGUGCAUAUGAUCCAGCUGCAAUCCGAAUCUAGCGGCUGAGAUUUCAUUACACCAAUUGGACUGCUGCAGAGGAUCGUGUUCAAUCAUUUGAUGGAUGGAAAUCGGGAGCAUUCCGUUGAGUAUUGUUAUGUUAAGAGUAAAUCUCCAAACUGGUGUUUGAAAUAUUUGACCAAAAAUGUGUUGGUUUAAGAAUGGAAAAUCAACCACCUUAAAUUUAAAGAAUCAGAAACGUCAACUAUAUGAGGAACAAAUACUCACAGCUCUUGUGUCGGUGGCCACCGCCGUGACAACGAACAUGAGAUUAAAGCUGAUAAUGAACUCUAAAGCAAAAGCUUGGCCAUAUCCUCCAGAAGGAACAGUGACUCCACCACUCAUGAAAGGAUGAAAUACCCCUUUGAGUGCAAAUGCAGCACAUAUUGAUGCUAAAACUUGUGCGCCAAUAUACAUAGGCACCUGCAGUUAUUUCUUAUCCUUACAUACAUAUGGAUGCUUAUAGUAACUAAAUGUCCAAAUUAAGUACGACUUGCCAACUAGUUAAUUAAUUCAUGUUACUUUCAACCACAGUAAUUAGUAAAAUAGGCUAAAGGAUUAGGAAAAAGCUUAUCAGUUACAUGCUUCCAUGGGAAGUGUUUCAAUGCAGCAAAGGAAAUGGUGACUGCGGGGUUGAGAUGAGCACCAGAGAUGUGACCGGUGGAGAGGAUGACAAUCAUAACGGCAAGACCAGAAGAAGCAGCACAUCCAAUCAGAGUCUCCGACCCUUUUGUCUUUUGGUUCACAAUAGCAGUGGCUGUCCCAGCAAAAAUCAGAAUGAAUGUCCCUAUAAACUCAGCUCCUAUCUGCAACACAACACGUUAUGUAUUACUCUAUUACUACUACUUAGCACAUCAAUGAAAUAUGGUCUGCAUUGGUUUACAUUAGACUAGAUUAUACAUGCACAUAUAGAAAUUACACAAGUCUAUAUUAUAAGCAUUUAUUUUAAUCCCAAAAA